rnacentral:rRNA from 1 species
AUACGGAGGAUACGAGCGUUAUCCGGAUUUAUUGGGUUUAAAGGGUGCGCAGGCGGCCAUUUAAGUCAGCGGUUAAAUCGUGGGGCUCAACCCCAUUCUGCCGUUGAUACUGGGUGGCUUGAUUGCGGUCGAGGUUGGCGGAAUUCGUUGUGUAGCGGUGAAAUGCAUAGAUAUGACGAAGAACACCGAUUGCGUAGGCAGCUGACCAGACCGCAAAUGACGCUCAUGCACGAAAGUGCGGGGAUCGAACAGGAUUAGAUACCCUGGUAGUCCGCACAGUAAACGAUGAAUACUUGUUUUCGGCGAUAUAAUGUCGGAGGCAAAGCGAAAGCGAUAAGUAUUCCACCUGGGGAGUACGCCGGCAACGGUGAAACUCAAAGGAAUUGACGGGG